GCAGGUAAUUAAGUUAUUACUUAGAAUUAUAGUAAUUACUUGUACAUGUUCGUAUAUUGCGGUUGGUUGCAUCAUGGAAUUAUGAAUGAAUUUCUUUCGAUAAGGAAAUGUACUACAUAAGUAUUUGCAAACAAAACAUUUUUUAAUAGAAGAGAUAUCAGCGGUUUUUAGGAGUGAUAAAUGUACAUAAGAAGCGGUUUGGAUUUGGAAGAUUUGCUCGUAGAACUCUUAAAAUAUAAAAAAAAAACAGUGUGAUAAGUCGUUUAUGUUUUGAAAUACAAUAUAAGAGUUGCGUCAUGCAUUGAAAGCGAAGCUCGGGAGGUCUGAUAUUUAUAAUGGAAUGUAGUGGAUAUGAAACGAAACUUAGCUCAGUGUUCAACGAUAUUUAUUCUACGCGAUACUUAUCUUAAAUACUUCAAUUCUGAUGUAUACAUCAUUUACGACAUUUACUAAUCUGUUGACUUGGUUAGACAAAGUACGAAAGCAGAUGACAUCGUUGAACGUACGGAAGAAGAUCACUAAAGAUCCAAAAAUGCCUUUGCGUGAUCCAAAAGUGACGGCUUAAGCCAAAGUGCGCUACAAACCCAACAUUAGACCAAAUGUUUUCAAACAAAAAAUCAAAAAAAAAAUUGCUGGAUAGCCGUCCACUUGACUGUUGCGGAUUUGACAUUUUCCGAAAUAAACAAUUAAGGCUCAUAUUAAAUAAAAAUCUCUUAAAUAA